AAAAUCAAGCGCUUCCAGUGGCAAAAGAAGGACAGAGAGAAGAUGUGGUAACACGAUGCUUGGUUGAAGUCUUGUCCAAAGCUCUCUCCAAACCGGACUCCCAGCUGGAUCAGCAAUGCAAAGAAAUCCUCCAAGCAGGGGUUAAAAACGCUCCACUGGACAAAAAGACUACGGAGGGGACGGCGACCAAUGGAGAGGCGGUCAGAGGUCACCCCGAGGGGACUGAGGCAAAGGGAGCAGACGUUAAAGACAUCGAGGCUCUCCUGAAAUCUGUCGAGGAAAAACGAGAAAUCCCAGAAGACGAGCGCAGCCAAGAGUCCUGGAGCCUGGGCGACGAGAAGGACAAGAGACACGAGGACGAGGCGGAUGAAGCAGAGCGGGAGAAGAGAAGCGGCUGGAGGCCCGGAAGACACCACCAACAACGGGCGCACAAACGAGGGGAAGAGGAAGAAGAGGAAGACAACCAGCGCAGUCAGGAGAGCUGGGGGCUGGAGAAGAGGAGGUUAGACGAAGAGGAGGAAGACAAGGAGAAGAGGAACUGGAGACCCGGAAGAUACCACCAAAGGAAACAAAAACGAGAUGAGGAAACUUUAGGAGAUGAGAGGGAGGAGCCCGAGGAAGAACGUAGCCAAGAGUCCUGGGACAUAGCCAAAAGGCACGGGACCACGCAUCGCUACCUACACAAGACAAAGCUCCACAAACGUGGCGAGGAGGAUGAAGACGGCGAGCGCAGCCAGGAAUAUUGGGGCCUUGACGACGAGAGGGACAAGAGGGACUGGAGGGCCGGAAGGUUCCACCAGAGGAGACACAAACGUGACGAAGAGCUUGCAGAAGAACCAAGAGAAGAACCAGAAGAGGAACGCAGCCAGGAAUCCUGGGACUUUGAUACUGGAAAAAAACAAGCGCGAUUGGAGGGCUGGAAGGUUCCACCAGAGGAGGCACAAGCGUGACGAAGAGCUCUCAGAGGAAGCCAGAGACGAACCCGAUGAGGAACGCAGCCAAGAAUCAUGGGACUUUGAUACUGGAAGGGACAAGAGAGACUGGAGGGCCGGCAGAUUCCACCAGAGGAGACACAAGCGUGACGAAGAGCUCUCCGAGGAAGCCAGGGAUGAACCGGACGAGGAACGCAGCCAAGAAUCAUGGGACUUCGAUACUGGAAGGGACAAGAGAGACUGGAGGGCCGGCAGAUUCCACCAGAGGAGACACAAGCGUGACGAAGAGCUCUCCGAGGAAGCCAGGGACGAACCGGACGAGGAACGCAGCCAAGAAUCAUGGGACUUCGAUACUGGAAGGGACAAGAGAGACUGGAGGGCCGGCAGAUUCCACCAGAGGAGACACAAGCGUGACGAAGAGCUCUCAAAAGAACCAAGAGAAGAACCAGAUGAGGAACGCAGCCAAGAAUCAUGGGACUUUGAUACUGGAAGGGACAAGAGAGACUGGAGGGCCGGCAGAUUCCACCAGAGGAGACACAAGCGUGAUGAAGAGCUCUCAGAGGAGGCCAGAGAUGAACCAGACGAGGAACGCAGCCAAGAAUCAUGGGACUUUGAUACUGGAAGGGACAAGAGAGACUGGAGGGCCGGCAGAUUCCACCAGAGGAGACACAAGCGUGACGAAGAGCUCUCAAAAGAACCAAGAGAAGAACCAGAUGAAGAACGCAGCCAGGAAUCAUGGGACUUUGAUACUGGAAGAGACAAAAGAGAAUGGAGGGCCGGCAGAUUCCACCAGAGGAAACACAAGCGUGACGAAGAGCUCUCAGAGGAGGCCAAAGAAGAACCGGACGAGGAGCGCAGCCAGGAAUCCUGGGGACUGGACAAAAGAAACGAAGCUCUGAGGUAUCUGGCAGAGAAACGCAAUCCCUGGAUUUUCAGAGGCUAUUACCAUCCUGCGUGGUAUAAGAGGGAUUCAGAUGAGAAUGCUGCAACCUCAAAUAAGAUGGACCAACUGGCCAAGUUGCUGAGCUACAAGAUAAACCAGCUGGCAAACCACUCGAAUCCAGAGGAGGCAAAGAGGAGCACGCAACAGAAAACCCUCACUGCACAGGAGGAGAAAGAGCUGCAGAACCUCGCAGCGAUGGACAUGGAGUUGCAGAAAAUCGCUGCCAAAUUGCAUGACAACAGUGCGUAA
rnacentral:lncRNA from 1 species